CUACGGGCGGCAGCAGUCAAGAAUCUUCCGCAAUGGGCGAAAGCCUGACGGAGCGAUGCCGCGUGCAGGAUUAAGGCCUUCGGGUUGUAAACUGCUUUUAUCAGGGACGAAUUCGUGACGGUACCUGAAGAAUAAGAGGUUGCUAACUCUGUGCCAGCAGCAGCGGUAAUACAGAGACCUCGAGCGUUAUCCGGAUUUAUUGGGCGUAAGGCGUCCGCAGGUGGUUUAAUAAGUCAGAAGUAAAAACAUCAGGCUCAACCUGGUGCCUGCUUCUGAAACUAUUAAACUAGAGGAUGGUAGAGGCAAGCGGAACUACAGGUGUAGUCGUAACAAGCGUUGAUAUCUGUAGGAACACCAAAGGCGAAGGCAGCUUGCUAGAACAUUCCUGACACUAAUGGACGAAAGCGUGGGGAGCGAAGGGGAUUAGAUACCCCCGUAGUC
rnacentral:rRNA from 1 species